rnacentral:pre_miRNA from 1 species
UAAAUAUUGGACCGUCGGUCUACCGAGCAAUAUCACCCGCUCGGUGGAACAUUUUCCAUUUGUCGU